rnacentral:lncRNA from 1 species
UUGGGAGGCGGAAUACUUCUUUCUUUCUUUAAUUCGUCCCGAUCUUUUAAAUAGUCACUUUUGUUCCUAUUUAGGAAAAUUUUCAAAAAUUUUUCUUGUGGUUUCGUACUUUCUCACUUUAGUACCAUGUGGUUUAAAGUGUAUUAAUUUGUCCCCAUGUGGUUUUAUUUUUAUCUUUUUGGCAGUUUUUUUCUUAAUAUUUCGUUAAAUUAUAUACAGAAAAAUUUCAGAUACCCAUCUAGAUUUAUCAAAUAUUUACUUUAGUAUUCUUUAAUUUUAACUUUGUCACUGAUUUAAGAAAAGAAAAUAAUAAAAUUGAUACUAAAAUAAAAAAAAUGAAAUCACAUGGGGCAAAUUAAUGUACUUUAAAUCACAGGAUAUUAAAGUGAGAAAGUACGAAAUCAUAAGAAGUUUUUUUUAAAUUGUUCCUCCUAUUUAUU